GAACGCUUCAAGUGAAGCUUUGACGCCCAACCAUUUCCUGCUUGGAUCCUCACACGGUUUGAAACCAUUGGUGUCGUACCAUGACAGCCUCGCUACACUUAGAAACACAUGGAAAACAUCACAAGUUUACGCCAAUCUUUUCUGGAAAAGGUGGUUAAAAGAGUACCUGCCAACAAUUCGUCGUCGUCCUAAAUGGCAUCAUCCGGUGAAACCUAUUGCAGUCGGUGAUGUCGUGGUCAUCGUUGAUUCCGAUUUGCCCCGUAACCUGUGGCCGAAGGGGCGAGUGGUUAAGGUCAACGAGCAUGCCGGCCAAGUUCGUAGUGCAACUGUGCGGACUUUGUCAAACGUGUACGAACGACCUGCUGUGAAAUUGGCGGUUCUUGACAUCGGUGCAACAGAGUGUAAGCCAGGAACGGGAUCAGGCUUACCGGGGGGGAGUGUCACGUCACCUACGGACGCACCGCAGUCACGCAUCGAACCCCCACAUCAUUCGCCGUCACUGACAGGCGAGAAACGUCAAGGUGGUAAAGUGCAUGACCAGCAAUAACAGAGUUUGGUGACUAGGCGUUUAAUCAGUAACAAACAAAUAAACAAUUUACAACAAAUUUAUUAAAGUUUAGUUACAAUUACAGUACAAUUUAAACAAAUAACACUGGAUUACACUACACUCGUUUGCAAGGAACACUUCAAAUCAAUUUAUAGCUUCGCGCAGGUAUUGAUUCGUGGCGUAAACCUAAUUCGUCUGCUAAAUUGAGCAGUUUCACAGUUAGUGCCUAAUAAUACUUGAAACAGGUAACAGUAAGUGCUAGCAAUACCGUACGGCACCCGAAUUUCGGACUGAACACAAAUAAUUACUAAAAAGGCAUUAAACGUAAGUUGAAAUUUAAGAUUAUAUUCAAUGAAACACAAUGCACACAUAUAUUAUAAGUAAUCAAAUCCCUAAAUGCAUGAAUUGUCUUUACUACAGGGAUAAUUUAACGUUCUGUAAUACACCGUUGAAAUUACCGGAAGCUUCGUCGUUUUCUUUCUUGUUUCGGCA